AGGAUUAACGCUGGCGGCGUGCCUGACACAUGCAAGUCGAACGAGGUCGCAAGACCGAGUGGCGGACGGGUGAGUAACACGUGACCAACCUACCCCGAAGUCUGGGAUAGCCCUGCGAAAGCAGGAUUAAUACCGGAUGUGGCCCGGCGAGGGCAUCCUCGCCGGUCUAAGGAUUCAUCGCUUCGGGACGGGGUCGCGGCCUAUUAGCUUGUUGGUGGGGUAACGGCUCACCAAGGCGAUGAUGGGUAGCUGGUCUGAGAGGACGACCAGCCACACUGGGACUGAGACACGGCCCAGACUCCUACGGGAGGCAGC
rnacentral:rRNA from 1 species